rnacentral:rRNA from 1 species
AACGAACGCUGGCGGCGUGCCUAACACAUGCAAGUCGUGCGAGAAAGUUCCUUCGGGAGCGAGUAAAGCGGCGCACGGGUGAGUAACACGUAGGUAACCUGCCCCCCAGUCUGGAACAACUAGAGGAAACUCUAGCUAAUGCCGGAUGAGACCACGAUCCCUUCGGGGGUUGCGGCCAAAGAUGGCCUCUACUUGUAAGCUAUCGCUGAGGGAUGGGCCUGCGGGCCAUUAGCUUGUUGGUGAGGUAACGGCUCACCAAGGCUGUGAUGGCUAGCUGGUCUGAGAGGAUGACCAGCCACACUGGGACUGAGACACGGCCCAGACUCCUACGGGAGGCAGCAGUGGGGAAUAUUGCGCAAUGGCGAAAGCCUGACGCAGCGACGCCGCGUGGGUGAUGAAGGGCC